CUGGCGGCGUGCUUAACACAUGCAAGUCGAACGAAGUGGCGAACGGGUGAGUAACACGUGAGUAACUGCCCUUGACUCUGGGAUAACCUCCGGAAACGGAAGCUAAUACCGGAUAAGGAUGGACUCGCGGCCUAUCAGGUAGUUGGUGAGGUAACGGCUCACCAAGCCUACGACGGGUAGCCGGCCUGAGAGGGGACCGGCCACACUGGGCUGAGACACGGCCCAGACUCCUACGGGAGGCAGCAGUGGGGAAUAUUGCACAAUGGGCGCAAGCCUGAUGCAGCAACGCCGCGUGAGGGAUGACGGCCUUCGGGUUGUAAACCUCUUUUAGUAGGGAAGCGGUACCUGCAGAAAAAGCACCGGCUAACUACGUGCCAGCAGCCGCGGUAAUACGUAGGGUGCGAGCGUUGUCCGGAAUUAUUGGGCGUAAAGAGCUCGUAGGCGGUCUGUCGCGUCUGCUGUGAAAACCCGAGGCUCAACCUCGGGCCUGCAGUGGGUACGGGCAGGCUAGAGUGCGGUAGGGGAGAAUGGAAUUCCUGGUGUAGCGGUGGAAUGCGCA
rnacentral:rRNA from 1 species